rnacentral:misc_RNA from 1 species
UUUCCAUUUUCCUUGUGAUACAACACAGCUUUUUUUUUGGUUCAGGAAGGAUUGCGUCUGCCACCAGUAACAAAUGCUGUGUUGUAUCACAAGGAAAAUGGAAAGCAGAUCCUAUUUAGCAAUGACCUUGAUCUCAUACGGAUUCCAUGACGUGGGGCCUCCAAAUAUUGGGGAUGAUUGUUGGCCAAGUGACGAGAUCGACGAUGGCUACUGUGAAAAAUUAGACCGAUGAAAACGAAAAAAAAUUAGGGUUUGUCUGCAACGGAUAAGAGAAAUUAGCGAUGGAGGAGCAAGACCGGCGUCAAUUACUGCAGCUAUUCAAGAGCAAGUCAGGAAUAAAAUUGCG